CAAAUUAGGGCUGAUUUUUCAAGAGCCAGAUAAAACGUCAAGUAGCUAACUGAUCAAUAACUUUAUCUGAUUCUUUAACGAACCAAUAAAGAGUUUCAAUUUUUCAAAGCAUAGUUACCAGUCAGUUUACUACCUGACCUUUUUUUGUGACUAGCUUCACACUACAUCUGUGUGAGCGAGACGCGCUUAUGAACAUUUACAGAUCUAAGAAAGAGACAAACAAUUUUCAACUUAAUGACAGCGGUUGUCACAUUUUAGAGGGAAUCAUAACAUAACCUUAAACUUUGACGACUCGUCUUCGUGUUAAUAUUUAUUUUCCGUUCGAAUUUAUUGUUUGCUUUUUGUGUGUUGUGUGUAAUCAUGGAAAAUAUCGUAAAACGUGAACGUUCCACGAAUUUUAACAAAAGCGAAAUAAGAUUAUUGACUGAAUUGGUGGCAAAACACCGUACUAUAAUUGAAAAUAAGCAGACAGACGCCGUAACCAAUAAAGAAAAGGAAGCAGCGUGGAUAAAAAUCAGUUCAUUAUUUAAUGCGGCUACGGGAUUUACAGCGAGGAGUACCAAGAGCCUGAAGCUUAAAUAUGAAGGCAUAAAAAAGGAAACCAAAAAAACAUUGGCCAAACAUCGGCAAGAGCUGUACAAAACUGGUGGCGGGCCCUCUUCAGCCCCAGAGGUUACAGAUAUACAGGAGAGGGUUAUCGCGAUAUGUUCGAAUAUCAAUGGGCUGGAUGCUCGAAAUGACAGCGACAAAAUUCCAGAACCUUUAGAACUGGAAGAGACUGCUAAAGUUGACCCGCUAUCGUUGCCACUGCAAUCAUUAGAAAAUAAUUUAGUAAUUGUACCAUGUGAUGACGAUAUUCCGUGUACUUUAGAUCAAGAAGAGUUUUGCCCAUAACAGGAUUUAAAGGAG